rnacentral:SRP_RNA from 1 species
GCUGGGCAUGGUGGUGAGUGCCUGUAGUCCCAGCUACUUCAGAGGCUGAGAUGGGAGGAUCACUUGAGCCCGGGAGGUCAAGGCUGCAGUGAGUCGUGAUUGCACCACUGCACUCCAGCCUGGGUGACAGAGUGAGACCCUGUCUCAA